UACGGAGGGUGCAAGCGUUAAUCGGAUUUAUUGGGCGUAAAGGGCAUGUAGGCGGGGUGGAAAGUUAGAUGUGAAAGCCCGGGGCUCAACUCCGGACCCGCAUCUAAAACUUCCGCUCUUGAGGAUGGAAGGAGAAAAGGGAAUUCCGCGUGUAGCGGUGAAAUGCGUAGAUAUGUGGAAGAACACCAGUGGCGAAGGCGCUUUUCUAUUUUAUUCCUGACGCUGAGAUGCGAAAGCAAGGGGAGCAAACAGG
rnacentral:rRNA from 1 species